UAGGGAAUCUUCGGCAAUGGACGGAAGUCUGACCGAGCAACGCCGCGUGAGUGAAGAAGGUUUUCGGAUCGUAAAGCUCUGUUGUAAGAGAAGAACGAGUGUGAGAGUGGAAAGUUCACACUGUGACGGUAUCUUACCAGAAAGGGACGGCUAACUACGUGCCAGCAGCCGCGGUAAUACGUAGGUCCCGAGCGUUGUCCGGAUUUAUUGGGCGUAAAGCGAGCGCAGGCGGUUAGAUAAGUCUGAAGUUAAAGGCUGUGGCUUAACCAUAGUACGCUUUGGAAACUGUUUAACUUGAGUGCAAGAGGGGAGAGUGGAAUUCCAUGUGUAGCGGUGAAAUGCGUAGAUAUAUGGAGGAACACCGGUGGCGAAAGUGGCUCUCUGGCUUGUAACUGACGCUGAGGCUCGAAAGCGUGGGGAGCAAACAGGAUUAGAUACCCUGGUAGUCCACGCCGUAAACGAUGAGUGCUAGGUGUUAGACCCUUUCCGGGGUUUAGUGCCGUAGCUAACGCAUUAAGCACUCCGCCUGGGGAGUACGACCGCAAGGUUG
rnacentral:rRNA from 1 species